AGAGUUUGAUCAUGGCUCAGAACGAACGCUGGCGGCAGGCCUAAUACAUGCAAGUCGAGCGCGCCCUUGUGGUGAGCGGCGGACGGGUUAGUAACGCGUGGGAACGUGCCCUUCUCUAAGGAAUAGCCUCUGGAAACGGAGAGUAAUACCUUAUACGCCCUUCGGGGGAAAGAUUUAUCGGAGAAGGAUCGGCCCGCGUUAGAUUAGAUAGUUGGUGGGGUAACGGCCUACCAAGUCUACGAUCUAUAGCUGGUUUUAGAGGAUGAUCAGCAACACUGGGACUGAGACACGGCCCAGACUCCUACGGGAGGCAGCAGUAGGGAAUCUUGGACAAUGGGGGCAACCCUGAUCCAGCCAUGCCGCGUGAGUGAAGAAGGCCUUAGGGUCGUAAAGCUCUUUCGCCUGUGAUGAUAAUGACAGUAGCAGGUAAAGAAACCCCGGCUAACUCCGUGCCAGCAGCCGCGGUAAUACGGAGGGGGUUAGCGUUGUUCGGAAUUACUGGGCGUAAAGCGCGCGUAGGCGGAUUGGAAAGUUAGAGGUGAAAUCCCGGGGCUCAACCCCGGAACUGCCUUUAAAACUCCCAGUCUUGAGUUCGAGAGAGGUGAGUGGAAUUCCAAGUGUAGAGGUGAAAUUCGUAGAUAUUUGGAGGAACACCAGUGGCGAAGGCGGCUCACUGGCUCGAUACUGACGCUGAGGUGCGAAAGUGUGGGGAGCAAACAGGAUUAGAUACCCUGGUAGUCCACACCGUAAACGAUGAAUGCCAGUCGUCGGGUAGUAUACUAUUCGGUGA
rnacentral:rRNA from 1 species